AACGGCAUAGCUGGGUAGCUAUGUGUGGACGGGAUAAGUGCUGAAAGCAUCUAAGCAUGAAGCCCCCCUCAAGAUGAGAUUUCCCAACUUCGGUUAUAAGAUCCCUCAAAGAUGAUGAGGUUAAUAGGUUCGAGGUGGAAGCAUGGUGACAUGUGGAGCUGACGAAUACUAAUCGAUCGAAGACUUAAUCAA
rnacentral:rRNA from 1 species